ACACAUCACUACCAACGAUUGGUACAUUUUACUACACGGUGCUCGUAAAUUUGACGAUUGUCAUUCUGGCAACCGCGAAAAGAAUGAAGUGACAUCAUUUUUAAUUUCACCGUGCGGGUAGCAACAGCAUGAAGGAAAUCUACGUACAUAUUACGACGUUUGGACGGCUGAUGGAGAUCAUAUGCAAGCAUCGAUAAAAAUGUCGCUGUCGGUAACUGGAAUCAACUUUUGUGGUGUUGAUUCUUCGGAAAUCCUGACUUUUCUACCGAUGGUAUCAAAUAGUUGUCUUCCAACGUUCCUCCGGUCCCAAAAUUAAUGUUUAUUUGCCAACAAUUGAAACAGAGAUUCAACGGAACUGCAUGUUUAUGCCAUCCAUAGCGGAAUAAGCGAACAGCGAAGCGAAGCCUGCGAAUCGACAACAUGUAGCAUCAGCAACCGGCGUUAUUUAUUUUUAACUAAGCUAGGGAACAUAACUUUGUAUCGAGGACAUUGUAAUUGAAACAGAAAUAAAUAUAUUUAAGUGUCAUUUGGCUCUUCAAGUUUA